rnacentral:rRNA from 1 species
GACGAACGCUGGCGGCGUGCUUAACACAUGCAAGUCGAACGGAAAGGCCCUGCUUUUGUGGGGUGCUCGGGGGGGAACCGGGGGAGAAACAGGUAGUUACCCUGCCCUUGACUUUGGGUAAACUUCAGGAACUUGGGGUAAAUACGGAUAAGAGGCUCCUGUUGCAGGGGGGGGUUUGAAAGUUUUGGCGGGUGGGGCUGGCACCGGGGCUUCUCCAGCUGUUGGUGGGGGAGUGGCUUACCAAGGCUUUGACGGGUAGCCGGCCUGAGAGGGUGACCGGCCACAUUGGGACUGAGAUACGGCCCAGACUCCUACGGGAGGCAGCAGUGGGGAAUAUUGCACAAUGGGCGGAAGCCUGAUGCAGCAACGCCGCGUGCGGGAUGACGGCCUUCGGGUUGUAAACCGCUUUCGCCUGUGACGAAGCGUGAGUGACGGUAAUGGGUAAAGAAGCACCGGCUAACUACGUG